rnacentral:rRNA from 1 species
AUUGAACGCUGGCAGCAGGCCUAACACAUGCAAGUCGAGCGGAUGAGUGGAGCUUGCUCCAUGAUUCAGCGGCGGACGGGUGAGUAAUGCCUAGGAAUCUGCCUGGUAGUGGGGGACAACGUUUCGAAAGGAACGCUAAUACCGCAUACGUCCUACGGGAGAAAGUGGGGGAUCUUCGGACCUCACGCUAUCAGAUGAGCCUAGGUCGGAUUAGCUAGUUGGUGAGGUAAAGGCUCACCAAGGCGACGAUCCGUAACUGGUCUGAGAGGAUGAUCAGUCACACUGGAACUGAGACACGGUCCAGACUCCUACGGGAGGCAGCAGUGGGGAAUAUUGGACAAUGGGCGAAAGCCUGGUCCAGCCAUGCCGCGUGUGUGAAGAAGGUCUUCGGAUUGUAAAGCACUUUAAGUUGGGAGGAAGGGCAGUAAGUUAAUACCUUGCUGUUUUGACGUUACCAACAGAAUAAGCACCGGCUAACUUCGUGCCAGCCGCCGCGGUAACAC